rnacentral:lncRNA from 1 species
UUCACAUCUAGCCACUGGGCGGUCCGAUUCUUAGUGAUCUCGAAGUUUCUUACCCACAAAAGGCGAACGGUGAUGCCCUAGACUCAGUUUCUUGGUUCCGUCCCAAAACGCCGGAGAAAGGCAUAAUGGCCUAGGAAGGAACGACCAGACUCAGAACGGGGUCGGAGGCCUCGAAAGUUCACAUCUAACCACUGGGCGGUCGUAUUCUGAGUGAUCUUGAAGUUUCUUGCCCACAAAAGGGGAAAGGUGAUGGCCC